rnacentral:rRNA from 1 species
ACGGGAGGCAGCAGCUAAGAAUAUUCCGCAAUGGACGAAAGUCUGACGGAGCGACGCCGCGUGGAUGAUGAAGGCCGGAAGGUUGUAAAAUCCUUUUAUUAUUGAAGAAUAAGUCAGAGAGGUAAUGCUCUGGCGGUGACCGUAGAUAAUGAAUAAGCACCGGCUAAUUACGUGCCAGCAGCCGCGGUAACACGUAAGGUGCGAGCGUUGUUCGGAAUUAUUGGGCGUAAAGGGUACGCAGGCGGUCAGGCAAGCUUGGUGUGAAAUUCCGAGGCUCAACUUCGGAACUGCAUUGAGAACUGUCUGACUAGAGUCAAUGAGGGGAAACCGGAAUUCCAGGUGUAGGGGUGAAAUCUGUAGAUAUCUGGAAGAACACCAAUGGCGAAGGCAGGUUUCUAGCAUAUGACUGACGCUCAGGUACGAAGGUGCGGGGAGCAAACAGGAUUAGAUACCCUGGUA